rnacentral:lncRNA from 1 species
CCUCCCUUGACUGCCCAUUGAAUUUUAGGAAAAAGAAUCCAUUACUUCGGCGGCUGGUAAGCCUCUCAACUAGGAUGAUUUCACUGAUAAUUUGAAGAAGCUCAGUUUCAUCUGCAUUCAUUUACAGAUCAAUGCAAUGGAACCUCUCAAACCAAGGAUAACAGUCAAGGUGGAUUGCAUGACUUUUGGCAACCUUUUGUCUAUGAGAG